CCGCCAGCCGGCGAUCUUCCGUACAUACAAUCGACAGCUCUCGCGCGCGCCUUCGCGACACCGCUCCGAGAAUCGGAGCACGCUGGGUAGCUUCCUCUCCUCGUCCUGCCACGUGAUCGCGUCUCGAUAAUCGAAAAUUGACUGAAUCGUAGAUUCGCGUCGCGUCGCGUUGCUCCAGUCCUGUCGUUUUUUCGCGACAGAACUCGCGUGGCAGCGUGGAAGCCUGCGCCUGUCGCGCUUUUAUUAUACGGCCGCCAUUUCUGUUUUCCGGGACCGUUUGGAUUUCCCGCAACAGUGCCUCGCGGGAAUUGAUGGCUACGACAGCUACGAAGACCGGCGGAAGACCAGCGGGGCAGAUGGAGAAGGGGAGGGAGAGAGAAAGAGCCGCAGGAAGACGUCGUGACAGCCAGCUGUCAUUGAAAACGCCACCGAGUAGAGAGUCGAGAAGCCCCUGAGGAUAAGUCUCUCGCGGAUACUCUAACCAGGACCAAAGAACUAUUCCAUGAAGGCCUGCGUGGUUGCGACGGGUGCGUGCGACGUGCGUGCAUUCCCGCGGCGCGGUACGGCGGACGUCGGCCCUGGCGGUUUCGAGAGAACGAGAUUGUAAGUCUCUUUCUGCUUCCGUAUAAUUAUACGAACUCGACUUUUGUAGGUAAAAACACGUUCCGCGCGCGUGAUCCGUGAAUCACGCUUUGGAAACUUCCGUUAAUUUCGGACAAUGGGAUCGCAAUGAGAUAAUUUUACGCUUCUUACUACGAAAUUGUUGGGAGGGCUUACAUUCUUAGGCGAGCGCGCUCGCCUAAGAAUGUAGACCAAUUUUUUUGUAAUUAGAUCGACCAAAAA